CCUACGGGUGGCAGCAGUGGGGAAUAUUGGGCAAUGGGCGCAAUCCUGACCCAGCAACGCCGCGUGAAGGAAGAAGGCUUUCGGGUUGUAAACUUCUUUUGUCAGGGACGAAGCAAGUGACGGUACCUGACGACUAAGCCACGGCUAACUACGUGCCAGCAGCCGCGGUAAUACGUAGGUGGCAAGCGUUAUCCGGAUUUAAUGGGUGUAAAGGGCGUGUAGGCGGGAAUGCAAGUCAGAUGUGAAAACUAUGGGCUCAACCCACAGCCUGGCUUUGACACUGUAUUUCUUGAGUGCUGGAGAGGCAAUCGGAAUGCCGUGUGUAGCGGUGAAAUGCGUAGAUAUACGGAGGAACACCAGUGGCGAAGGCGGAUUGCUGGACAGUAACUGACGCUGAGGCGCGAAAGCGUGGGGAGCAAACAGGAUUAGAUACCCCGGUAGUC
rnacentral:rRNA from 1 species